rnacentral:rRNA from 1 species
GAUGAACGCUGGCGGCGUGCCUAAUACAUGCAAGUCGAGCGAACAGACGAGGAGCUUGCUCCUCUGACGUUAGCGGCGGACGGGUGAGUAACACGUGGAUAACCUACCUAUAAGACUGGGAUAACUUCGGGAAACCGGAGCUAAUACCGGAUAAUAUAUUGAACCGCAUGGUUCAAUAGUGAAAGACGGUUUUGCUGUCACUUAUAGAUGGAUCCGCGCCGCAUUAGCUAGUUGGUAAGGUAACGGCUUACCAAGGCAACGAUGCGUAGCCGACCUGAGAGGGUGAUCGGCCACACUGGAACUGAGACACGGUCCAGACUCCUACGGGAGGCAGCAGUAGGGAAUCUUCCGCAAGGGGCGAAAGCCUGACGGAGCAACGCCGCGUGAGUGAUGAAGGUCUUCGGAUCGUAAAACUCUGUUAUUAGGGAAGAACAAAUGUGUAAGUAACUAUGCACGUCUUGACGGAACCGAAUCAGAAAGCCACGGCUAACUACGU